GAUGAACGCUGGCGGCGUGCCUAAUACAUGCAAGUCGAGCGAACAGACGAGGAGCUUGCUCCUCUGACGUUAGCGGCGGACGGGUGAGUAACACGUGGAUAACCUACCUAUAAGACUGGGAUAACUUCGGGAAACCGGAGCUAAUACCGGAUAAUAUAUUGAACCGCAUGGUUCAAUAGUGAAAGACGGUUUUGCUGUCACUUAUAGAUGGAUCCGCGCCGCAUUAGCUAGUUGGUAAGGUAACGGCUUACCAAGGCGACGAUGCGUAGCCGACCUGAGAGGGUGAUCGGCCACACUGGAACUGAGACACGGCCCAGACUCCUACGGGAGGCAGCAGUAGGGAAUCUUCCGCAAUGGGCGAAAGCCUGACGGAGCAACGCCGCGUGAGUGAUGAAGGUCUUCGGAUCGUAAAACUCUGUUAUUAGGGAAGAACAAAUGUGUAAGUGACUAUGCACGUCUUGACGGUACCUAAUCAGAAAGCCACGGCUAACUACGUG
rnacentral:rRNA from 1 species